AGAGGGGGUGACUAGUGACCGAGUGAGGGAGGGAGUGGGUGACUAGUGACAGAGUGAGGAAGGGGGUGACACAGUGAUAGUCACCCCAUUCCUCCCUCUGUCACUAAUCACCACCUCCCUCACUCUCACUAGUCACACCCUCCCUCUCUCUGUCACUAGUCACACCCUUACUCACUGUCACUAGUCACACCCUUACUCACUGUCACUAGUCACACCCUCCCUCU